AACUCCACAUACGCAUCCUUUGCUGAGGAUACGGUUAACGGAGCGAAAGCGACGUUCAACCUCAAAAGAAGCAGAGGGGGCUUAGUGGUGGGGUGACUGCGUACCUUUUGUAUAAUGGGUCAGCGACUUAUAUUCUGUAGCAAGGUUAACCGUAUAGGGGAGCCGGAGGGAAACCGAGUCUUAAUUGGGCGUUAAGUUGCAGGGUAUAGACCCGAAACCCGGUGAUCUAGCCAUGGGCAGGUUGAAGGUUGGGUAACACUAACUGGAGGACCGAACCGACUAAUGUUGAAAAAUUAGCGGAUGACCUGUGGCUGGGGGUGAAAGGCCAAUCAAACCGGGAGAUAGCUGGUUCUCCCCGAAAGCUAUUUAGGUAGCGCCUCGUGAAUUCAUCUGCGGGGGUAGAGCACUGUUUCGGCUAGGGGGCCAUCCCGGCUUACCAACCCGAUGCAAACUGCGAAUACCGGAGAAUGUUAUCACGGGAGACACACGGCGGGUGCUAACGUCCGUCGUGAAGAGGGAAACAACCCAGACCGCCAGCUAAGGUCCCAAAGUCAUGGUUAAGUGGGAAACGAUGUGGGAAGGCCCAGACAGCCAGGAUGUUGGCUUAGAAGCAGCCAUCAUUUAAAGAAAGCGUAAUAGCUCACUGGUCGAGUCGGCCUGCGCGGAAGAUGUAACGGGGCUAAACCAUGCACCGAAGCUGCGGCAGCGAACGUAUCACCCAAGACAACUUUACGGAGUUGACGAUUGACGGAGCGCAGCGACGUCAAAGCGUUCAUUAAAGUCGAGUUGGCUUAGGGAUACGUUCGUUGGGUAGGGGAGCGUUCUGUAAGCCGUUGAAGGUGGCCUGUGAGGGUUGCUGGAGGUAUCAGAAGUGCGAAUGCUGACAUAAGUAACGAUAAAGCGGGUGAAAAGCCCGCUCGCCGGAAGACCAAGGGUUCCUGUCCAACGUUAAUCGGGGCAGGGUGAGUCGACCCCUAAGGCGAGGCCGAAAGGCGUAGUCGAUGGGAAACGGGUUAAUAUUCCCGUACUUGGUGUUACUGCGAAGGGGGGACGGAGAAGGCUAUGUUGGCCGGGCGACGGUUGUCCCGGUUUAAGCGUGUAGGCUGGUUUUCCAGGCAAAUCCGGAAAAUCAAGGCUGAGGCGUGACGACGAGGCACCACGGUGCUGAAGCAACAAAUGCCCUGCUUCCAGGAAAAGCCUCUAAGCAUCAGGUAACAUCAAAUCGUACCCCAAACCGACACAGGUGGUCAGGUAGAGAAUACCAAGGCGCUUGAGAGAACCCGGGUGAAGGAACUAGGCAAAAUGGUGCCGUAACUUCGGGAGAAGGCACGCUGACACGUAGGUGAAGUGAUUUACUCAUGGAGCUGAAGUCAGUCGAAGAUACCAGCUGGCUGCAACUGUUUAUUAAAAACACAGCACUGUGCAAACACGAAAGUGGACGUAUACGGUGUGACGCCUGCCCGGUGCCGGAAGGUUAAUUGAUGGGGUCA
rnacentral:rRNA from 1 species